rnacentral:rRNA from 3 species
GACGAACCGUGCGAACGUUAUUCGGAAUCACUGGGCUUAAAGCGCGUGUAGGCGGGCGGGUACGUCGGCGACUGAAAGCCCCCGGCUCAACCGGGGAAGGGGUGCCGAAACGGCCGGCCUGGAGGGGCGUAGGGGGACCUGGAACUUCCGGUGGAGCGGUGAAAUGCGUUGAGAUCGGAAGGAACGCCCGUGGCGAAAGCGAGGUCCUGGACGCCAUCUGACGCUGAGACGCGAAAGCCAGGGGAGCGAACGGG